GUACAAUAAGAUAUUUUUCCUGUGUUUGCUAGCAGAAAGAUACCUUGUAACUUGGUCUUUUCAGAGGAUAGAAACUGUUUGUGAAGUCUAACACAUCUAAAUCUGCAGCAGCACUCAUUAAAUCUUGCCAUUUUUGGAGAGCAGAAUACACUUUUCUCAGCUCUUUGUUUAAUGCUCCCAGCAAUUGUUUUGGGUGUUCAGCCUAAGGAGGCACCAGUGUUAACAUAGGUAGAGAUAAGAGUAUAACCCUGAGGGAACUUGUGAGCCCCUUCAUUAUGGGCAGCUCUAUUUUCUGCAUGGUUUUUGAAGGGCUGCAUGGAUGAGCUACAAAACCAGAAAUAAAGCAAACAAAAGCAGCAUGUGCCAGGGAACAGGUGGAUUAGUGGAUUUCUUUCUCAGUGCAGAGAUCUUAACUUCAAUUACCAUCACCAGUGGUAAUCAAUGGGGAUCCAAAUGGAUGUCAUGCACAUAUGCAGUGCUCUAACAAUCAGCCUGGUACAGAGCUCAUGAGGUCAGUUCUGGGGAGAUUUGUGGCAGCAAAUGCCUGGAGAUUCCCACGGACCUGGCUGGUGAUGCCAGAGCACGGGGGACUGCUGGAGCAGUUGGAUGUCAUAGAAAGACUGAUGCUCUUGUGCCCACCUCACCUCAACCUGCAGUGAUUUUCCCAAUGGAAAAGGAGUCAAAAUCAGAUUAUUAGGAUCUGCUAUGCAUUUCUGUGUGUUUGUCCUUACAGGCUCUAAUAUUGAUGAUUCUUAAAUAAAGAAACCUCAGUAUCCUAUUCCAUGGCAGGUUGGAGUCAGUAAACUUCUGUCAGUUCCCACCUGUUUUUGGGAAGGAUCACUCUGUGCUCUUUCUGUGCACUUUGUGGGUCCCUGUUGAGAGUAGUGAGGGUUCACAUUAGAUGUGGCUGCCAUGCACUGCUCUGCACAUGUGCUAAGUGGAUUUCAUUUACUUCUGGCCUCCCUCAUUUUAGUCUUGUAAUCUGCACUAGUUUAAUUGCUGUGCACAGGGCUUUGGAAUCUUCAUUGUAGUAUUUCAUGAGGCUAGAACAUAGAAAAAGCUUUCUUCUCUCAAGCACAGAUGCCUCCUCAUAGGCAGUAGGACUUCAAAGUUGCAGCUUUUCAUGUAAAAGGCCAUUUCUUAUUUUGCUAAUUUGUUUGGCUUUUAAUCACUGAUUCCCUGUGUUUCCCUGCCUCUUACCCAACCACAAAAUGACUACUAUGUGGAAAGGUUUCAGCUGCCUUGAGAGCACUCUUGAAACAUGUUCUUUGCCCUGAGUGAGAAGUACAAGCUGAACAGAAACUAUGCUGAGAGCUGUGUCCUGAGCACCAGGGGCAGAUUACAGGACUGACAGUGAACGCUCUGGUUGUCCUUGACCAUACUGGUGCUUGGGGUAGAAAAUUGAGAAGCUGUUAGUAUUGAUGGUUCUGAGCUUUUCUUUCUCCCUGGGCGAGGGAGGCCAAUACUGGUGGAGUCAGCUGAGAUCUGAUCCUCUUCUUUUUGUAGUUUCCCAGCCUGAUAGGAAAAACAAAUAUGAAAGAAUCCAAAGUUUCUUCUUUCCUCUCUUGUAUGUGACAAUCCACCAAGGUGCUGCUGAGCACAUGCAAGAGGUAAGAGGAUGUGUGGAUAGAGCAAAAGUGUCCAUAUUUUUUGAGUACUAUCAAUGUACUAAAUUUCUCUCAGGUCACAGAUACUAUUAUUUAACACUGUCUAAAGCCAUGUAAAGAAGAGAAGCAAAGAAAAAAAAAAAAAAA
rnacentral:lncRNA from 1 species